GACGAACGCUGGCGGCGUGCCUAAUACAUGCAAGUUGAGCGAUGAAGAUUGGUGCUUGCACCAAUUUGAAGAGCAGCGAACGGGUGAGUAACGCGUGGGGAAUCUGCCUUUGAGCGGGGGACAACAUUUGGAAACGAAUGCUAAUACCGCAUAACAACUUUAAACAUAAGUUUUAAGUUUGAAAGAUGCAAUUGCAUCACUCAAAGAUGAUCCCGCGUUGUAUUAGCUAGUUGGUGAGGUAAAGGCUCACCAAGGCGAUGAUACAUAGCCGACCUGAGAGGGUGAUCGGCCACAUUGGGAAUGAGACACGGCCCAAACUCCCACGGGAGGCAGCAGUAGGGAAUCUUCGGCAAUGGACGAAAGUCUUACCGAGCAACGCCGCGUGAGUGAAGAAGGUUUUCGGAUCGUAAAACUCUGUUGGUAGAGAAGAACGUUGGUGAGAGUGGAAAGCUCAUCAAGUGACGGUAACUACCCAGAAAGGGACGGCUAACUACGUG
rnacentral:rRNA from 1 species